GGGAGUUAUACCUUUUAUUCCUCAGGUAUCACCACUCUUCUCUUCCUACCGCGAAACAGCACAGUGAAAGGGAGGAGAUGGAGUGAAGAGACCGAGGGCAGGGAGAGGGAGGGGGGUGUGACGGGGUGGGGAAGUGAGGAGGAAGAGGGGGAAGAGCUACUGGGGAGGAGGAAGAUGGGGGAGGAAGAGGAUGAUGGGGUGGGGUGGUUCAGGGAGUGAAUAGGCCGGGUUGGGUGAGAUGAGGCUGGGUGUAUGUGCUUGAGAAGUCCGGGAGUGCGGAGGGGCAGAAAGGUAGACAGUGCGUGCGGGAAGAGGGGAUGGGGGUGGGGAGGCGAGGGCGGUCAGUGGGUUGAGAGGAGUGGGGAGAAGAUUUAGGGCGAGAGAGGUGCCAUCGUGCUGGGGAAGGCGGGACUAGGAGAGGUAAAAGAAUGGGGAGAGAAAUGGGAGGGAGAGAAGGAAGCUGAGGGAGAUUUGAGGAGAGAAGGCGCUUGAGGGGGAACCAGGAGGGGAGAAGGCUUGUGAGGGGGAAAUGUGAGAGGAGAAGGGGCGCGAGGGGGAACAGCGAGGGGAGAAGGGGUCCCGCCUCCUGGCCGCGCCGCCCUAGGUGUCGCCGCCUGGCGGUUACGAGGAGGCCGCCUCCUGCUUGCCGGCCUGGCGGUCCUACUCAACACCGCAAGAUUUCAAAAGGGAAAUUCCUCCAGGGCUGAGUCACAGGGAAGAAAGCGAUUUCCUCCGCCUCUUCCAAAGCGGAUUUUAUAACCUGACAGCGUGCUGGAACUUCUCUGCUGGACUCCUGGACUCCCACAAUGGUUGUGGGGCUAGACAAGAAGGAAAAAAAUCACUGUCCUCAUGGAAGUUAAAUUGUACUGACAAAGGAGGAAAAUGUCAGGGAGUUAACAAUUCAGUCUCUGUGGCUUCCUCCUGUCCUCUCCCUGAAACUGAGAUCCAGCCAAUCUGCACAUUUAUUCUGAGAGUGGCCCCACUUUAAUGACUACACCCAGCUGUCUACACACCAGGAGGGGAGGGAACUGUAUCCUGAGGCACCAACCCGAUUACCCACCCAACAGCCACAGGGACUUCCAGUGACUGGGGCAUCAUCCUCAAUGCCACCAACCCCUCUCCUUCCUGUGGCUUUUCUAACUGGAACUGGAACUCAGAAAGUACAUUAAUCACCAAUUUGGGAAGCUAUAGGAAAGUAUGUUUUCUAAUAUACAGUGAGAGAAUGUGACUGAUAAAACCAAUUUUCUUGAGACUUUCUCCCUGGAAAGUGAAUAUAUGUAUUCAUAGGGCCUUCACAAGCACAGACUAACAAGCAAAGAGCUACAUUCACUGGGAAGGAAGACUCAAAAUUUAAAAAUAGAAAAAAAAAUGAUGGCCCAGAAGAGCAAGUUCAGAGUGCUGUUCAUGAGUGAUCCGCAUGGGACCGCGAUGCCUCUGACGUCUGCCAUCCUGGAGAGCAGCAGAGCGUCACUAGCAGGUGACACAGAGAUGACUCUUUCUUUGCAACAUGUGCUUGGCAACCUCCGGGACCCAUCGCGCCCUGUUCCCAGUCUCCACCUCUCAGUACCAGCUCCCUGACAGGAGUUCCCUCUGGCCCAUAG
rnacentral:lncRNA from 10 species